UCUGCAACCCGACUCCAUGAAGCUGGAUUCGCUAGUAAUCGCGCAUCAGCCACGGCGCGGUGAAUACGUUCCCGGGCCUUGUACACACCGCCCGUCAAGCCAUGGAAGCCGGGGGGUGCCUGAAGUGCGCUGCCGCGAGGAGCGCCCUAGGGUAAAACCGGUGACUGGGGCUAAGUCGUAACAAGGUAUC
rnacentral:rRNA from 1 species